rnacentral:rRNA from 1 species
GACGAACGCUGGCGGCGUGCUUAACACAUGCAAGUCGAACGGUAAGGCCCUUCGGGUACGACGAGUGGCGAACGGGUGGAGUAACACGUGGGUGAUCUGCCCUGCACUUUGGGAUAAGCCUGGGAAACUGGGUCUAAUACCGAAUAUGACCAUGGACUUCACGGUUUGUGGUGGAAAGCUUUUGCGGUGUGGGAUGGGCCCGCGGCCUAUCAGCUUGUUGGUGGGGUAAUGGCCUACCAAGGCGACGACGGGUAGCCGGCCUGAGAGGGUGACCGGCCACACUGGGACUGAGAUACGGCCCAGACUCCUACGGGAGGCAGCAGUGGGGAAUAUUGCACAAUGGGCGCAAGCCUGAUGCAGCGACGCCGCGU